GUGGGGAAUCUUGCGCAAUGGGCGAAAGCCUGACGCAGCCAUGCCGCGUGAAUGAUGAAGGUCUUAGGAUUGUAAAAUUCUUUCACCGGGGACGAUAAUGACGGUACCCGGAGAAGAAGCCCCGGCUAACUUCGUGCCAGCAGCCGCGGUAAUACGAAGGGGGCUAGCGUUGCUCGGAAUUACUGGGCGUAAAGGGCGCGUAGGCGGACAGUUUAGUCAGAGGUGAAAGCCCAGGGCUCAACCUUGGAAUUGCCUUUGAUACUGGCUGUCUUGAGUACGGGAGAGGGGAGUGGAACUCCGAGUGUAGAGGUGAAAGUCGUAGAUAUUCGGAAGAACACCAGUGGCGAAGGCGACAUACUGGCUCAUUACUGACGCUGAGGCGCGAAAGCGUGGGGAGCAAACAGGAUUAGAUACCCGGGUAGUCC
rnacentral:rRNA from 1 species